rnacentral:lncRNA from 1 species
UAUUAAUGUACACUAUUAACUAAAAACACUAUUAAAUAAAAACAUAGGAAGAUUAAACGUAAAAUUUUUAAUAGUUUCAAUGUUUGUUUUAUUAACAAAUAAAAAGAAAUAAAUAAAAAGAAAAAAAUGUACACUAUUAACUAAAAACACUAUUAAAUAAAAACAUAGGAAGAUUAAACGUAAAAUUUUUAAUAGUUUCAAUGUUUGUUUUAUUAACAAAUAAAAAGAAAUAAAUAAAAAGAAAAAAUGAGAACAGAACCUAUUCAUCGUCCUCGAGCUCUCUCCAUCUCACUCACCUCUC